ACGAAGGGGGCUAGCGUUGCUCGGAAUCACUGGGCGUAAAGGGUACGUAGGCGGCGCUGUUAGUCGGGUGUGAAAUCCCAGGGCUCAACCCUGGAACUGCGCCCGAUACUGCAGUGCUUGGGGGAGACAGAGGUAAGCGGAACUGAUGGUGGAGCGGUGAAAUGCGUUGAUAUCGGAGGGAACAUCAGUGGCGAAAGCGACUUCCUGGACCAGUACCGACGUUCAGGCACGAAAGCGUGGGGAGCAAACAGGA
rnacentral:rRNA from 1 species